CUUUUUUUGGGAAAGUAUUUUUUUUUACACUACAUGUGCUUAAUGUAACGUGUUGCUUAGGUAGCUAUUUUAUUAUAGAUUCAAAGGGAUCGCGUCUGCUUUUUUAUUCUGGCUUUCUUACAGGUUCAUUAGAACAUGAAUAUGAAAAUCAAAAGUAAUAUUUCAGUAUCGACUUGAUACGUAGCCGACACGAUUCACAAAACUAAGUACAUAUUUGUUUCUUAUAGAGAUGACAAUACCUGAUACAAAACUGUGGUUGCGUUUUAAAAUGCCGUUUAAUAAAAUAAGGAGAAAAGAGUGCAGCCUAGACGCCGUCAAUGGAUGCUCUCAAUUCACACUUAUCUGGUUUCGACGAAUAUUCGUUUUAUCGCGAUAACACGAAUUAAGGAUGGUGUGCAAUAUGAGUGAGACGCCUGCCAUCGAGCGAGUCUUGUUGUUCAAUGACGCGGACGGACGCGGCGCGGUGUUCGCAGUCGCGUAGCGGGGAGGACGGGCGGGCGGGCGGUGCACCGGCUGCCCCGAUGUCGCCGCACACUAAGCUGUUCGUAGUGUGUAACAUUGCUGUCUCACACAUUCAAAUAAUCUGUCUAGUUCACUUUGUGUGCUCAAUCGGUACUUAGGUUCUACAAUAUAACAAUAAGUCAUGGAAAGCACAAAGGUUUCUUGGCAUUGCAGUUGUAUUAUAGGAAUAAGAUAAAGUUUGUUUGAGAUAAAGAAACGCGUGCUCUUGAUUAUUUCAAAAAUACUUGCUACGGCCAGCGUCCAGUACGGACAGAGAUUGGGAACUCUUUUAUAGACUUUCAAAUACAAAGGUCAUGGAUUCGGGACCGAAAACCGUACCAUAUAUUGCAAAUCCGGAAGGGAGACGCUGCUAUACGCAGUGUAUUGCGCUGUCACGCUUCCACAAUAGCAAUAAUAUUAAUUUAAGACACGGCGGUAGGAUCCGUGUUUGUUUACCCUCGUAUUGGACAAGCUGUGAGAGUAUAUUCUGAGUGUAUCGACCAGGGCGUGGGCAUACUCAUGUGUAAGAUAGUGAUGACAACGACUCACGGGGUUGGCGGCGGCGGCUGCGGCGGCAGCGUGUCGGCGGCGCAGGUGCGGGCGGGCCAGCGCGCCCGCGGCCGCGCAUACCAGCACAGCGGCGCCAACGCAUGCGCCCGCCCACCACCACUCUGGAAACAAUUUCGUUAAAUCUUUAUUUUUUAUUUUCUAUUAUAAAGCAAUGCUUGAGAAGUUGGUCACAUCACCUACAAUGAAUUCUAUACUGACUGGAUGGGCUAGAAACGUUAACGAACAGAAACCCGCAAAACAAUAUGUUUAAGGAAGAAUAAUUGGCAUUAAUAUUCAACUUUAAGAUGUUUUAGUGUCGAUGGUGGUGUAUUUAUAGCAUUAAAGCUUGGUCGAGUGUGAUGUUUGGCCUUCAAUACUC